rnacentral:rRNA from 1 species
AAAAGCUUAGAGGUUGUGCUUUAUUAAGGUUGUGCUUUUGUUAAGUUACCUUUUGCAUCAUGAUCUAUUGAAAGGGGGUGUUUAUAUUUCAAAGUCUCGAAGGAUAGUGAUUUUUCUUUUCUCUUGUUUGGAACUAAGGCCAAGACGAGUAGUUUUUUUAAGAGAGAGGGAAAGUUGUGAUAAAUUUUUCGGACUAUCUAAUAUCUAGUAGUGGGGGGAUCUGUUGUUAUAAAGAAGCUGGGCUAGGAUGUUUAGUUUCAGUUAAGAGGGUUUAUGUUUUUUGCUGGUUUAGUGGGGUUAAAGUUCCCCCUCUUUAUAAAAUGUGUUAUAACUUGGAUUUGCGGUUUUCUCCCUUUAUUGUGGUCCCCCGCACUGAUAACUGUGUUUUUGAGUAUGAUAGAAUAAGUAGAUUGUAGUGGCCUCUUUUUUUCUCGCCCCUCUUUCGGUCUGUUUAUUAAAAACAUUUCCAUUUUUAAAUUUAAAUGGUAGUGCCUGCCCGAUGCUUUGUAGGUGAAUGGCCGCAGUAUUCUGACUGUGCUAAGGUAGCAUAAUUAGUUGCCUCAUAAUUGGAGGAUUGUUUGAAUGGUUUGACUGGAGAGUUGGGGAAGAUAGGGGUUGUUGGUUGAAUUUGGUUUUUGGGUGCAGAACCCCAAAUGAAAAUAUAAGACGGAAAGACCCCGAGAUCUUAAUUUUUAGGAAUUUGUUUGGGGUAAGAGUAUAUGUUGUAUAUGCUUUUUGAUCCCUUAGGAAUGAGGUUGAAGUUACCUCGGGGAUAACUAGGUAAAAAAUGAGAAGAGGUCCAAUCGAUUCAUUUAAUUGCCAUCUCGAUGUUGACUUAGGAGAUAUGAGAGGGUGUAGGAGUUCUUUUAUAAGGUCUGUUCGACCAUAGUUUCCUUCAUGAGUUGAGUUAAGACCGGCGUGAGCCAGGUCGGUUCUUAUCUAUAUGUGGCGCAGGUUAGUACGAAAGGAUGAUUUGUGCUUUAUGUUU